rnacentral:rRNA from 1 species
GAAUCUGGCGGUCCUUGUGGCCGUCCGAGUUGUAAUCUAGAGAAGUGUUUUCCGCGCUGGACCGUGUACAAGUCUCCUGGAAGGGAGCGUCAUAGAGGGUGAGAAUCCCGUCUUUGACACGGACUGCCAGUGCUAUGUGAUGCGCUCUCGACGAGUCGAGUUGUUUGUGAAUGCAGCUCAAAAUGGGUGGUAAAUUCCAUCUAAAGCUAAAUAUUGGCGAGAGACCGAUAGCGAACAAGUACCGUGAGGGAAAGACGAAAAGAACUUUGGAAAGAGAGUUAAACAGUACGUGAAAUUGCUGAAAGGGAAACGCUUGAUGUCAGUCGCGUCCGCCAGGGAUCAACCUAGCUUGAUUGCUUGGUGCAUUUCUUGGUCGGACGGGUCAGCAUCGGUUUCGAUCGGGGUAUAAUGGCGGAGGGAAUGUGGCACCUCUAGGGGUGUGUUAUAGACUUUCGUCGUAUGCUUGGGUGGGGACCGAGGAACUCGACACGGACUUUCGAUAGUCUUGUGUCUAGGAUGCUGGCAUAAUGGCCUUAAGCGACCCGUCUUGAAACACGGACCAA